rnacentral:lncRNA from 1 species
CUUUGCGGGCGCCUCUGGAUCCCGCGGCCUCUUCUGGCCUCCCUGAAGUCGCCACUUUGGCCGCUCUGGCACGCCUGGCGUUGGGUGGGCGGCAUCUCUGCGCCCACAUGAACCAGCAUUAUGGCCGACAUGGUCGUGGACGGGGCCGGGACUUUGCUGCCUGUGCCCCACCCAAGAAGAAGGGCAGAAACCACAUCCCCGAAAGGUAAGCGCUUUGGUUCCGGGCUUGGCGUUCCGGCUGCCUCGGUGGCCUCGAGUCUCCGAGUGUUCCCUGGCCUCGCGCCCCGCCGCCUCCCAGGGUCCUCCGCGCCGAACCCCACCACACCUCCCCACCCCGCAUUCUGGGGUCUUGGGUCUGUCCCGACAGGACUCUGUGGAGCUCGGGCCUGGGCGGAAGUGCGCGGUGGGGCGCGGCUGCCUGUAUUGAGGCGUCCCUUGAUCUCCGAAGCCACAGGCUUCUGCUUGUGUAGGCGCUGUGCCAGGAUCCGGCCCGAGCUGUCGACACCCUUCACUCGGUACCGGCUCGAGGGGUUCUCUUGCUUUCAGGAUUCGGAAAGCGGAGGUGUCCUUUGAGGGAGUUAACCCUGCCUGGGCCAAGGGCUAGUUUUAGGAUUUUGCUCACUGGUGCAAUGAACCCUUUACUUGCGGCUGUUUGCUUCCCCUCUCCGAUUUCAUCUCCACAAAAAACGUGGCUAGACCGGCCUCUCCCCUUCCUAGAAUUCAUCAAAUCCUUUUUUUUUUUUUUUAAUCUCCACAAAUAAACAAUACCUAAAACUCAGGAUCGACAGAAUGCUCUGCCCCGACUUCCCGGACUUCAGUAAGCACUUCUUUUUUAUGUCUACAAAUGAGCACUAUCUAAAAUUCAGGAUGGACGUGAUGGCCUCUCUCCCUUCCCAGAGUGGAUAUCUUUAGAUCCUGUCAGCUAACCUCCAACAUCAUCCCAGUGUAGAACUUGCCUGACAGCUUGCAGAAGACAGCUGUCUGUCCACUGGACAAUCCAUUUUUAACAUACCUUCUAUAGUUAACUAUUUAACUAUUAAUUACUAAGUAAAGUAUAAGUAAGUUAUAAAUAAAUUGUUUAUUGAUAUUUUAAUGUAGCUUAUUUCAUUAUUAAAUUAUCUAUUGGAUAUAAAAUUGUUAACUAAAAAUUAAAAAUAAUUUUAGCUAUUGCUUAUUUGUGGAGAUAAAGCAAGAUAAAUAUCAAGUAGUAAUUGUGAGACAGCUCAUAGAUGUAAGAUAAAGCUUGACUUUAAGAAUAAAAACCUUCGGGGCAGUUCCAGGACAGCCAGGGCUACACAGAGAAACCCUGUCUUGAAAAAU